rnacentral:rRNA from 1 species
UACAGAGGUCCCGAGCGUUGUUCGGAUUCACUGGGCGUAAAGGGUGCGUAGGUGGCGAGGUAAGUCGGAUGUGAAAGCUCGGAGCUCAACUCCGAAAUGGCAUUGGAAACUACCUUGCUCGAGGGUUGGAGGGGGGACUGGAAUACUUGGUGUAGCAGUGAAAUGCGUAGAUAUCAAGCGGAACACCGGUGGCGAAGGCGGCCUUCUGGACAGUAACUGACGCUGAGACGCGAAAGCGUGGGGAGCAAACAGG